rnacentral:rRNA from 1 species
UACGGAAGGCAGCAGUGGGGAAUAUUGCACAAUGGGCGAAAGCCUGAUGCAGCUAUGCCGCGUGUAUGAAGAAGGCCUUAGGGUUGUAAAGUACUUUCAUCGGGGAGGAAAAACAAAACUAAUAAUUUUAUUUCUUGACGUUACCCGAAAAAGAAGCACCGGCUAACUCCGUGCCAGCAGCCGCGGUAAUACGGAGGGUGCUAGCGUUAAUCAGAAUUACUGGGCGUAAAGAGCACGUAGGUGGUUUUUUUAAGUCAGAUGUGAAAUCCCUGGGCUUAACCUGGAACUGCAUUUUGAAACUGAAAUACUAGAGUAUCGUAGAGGGAGGUAGAAUUCUAGGUGUGGCGGUGAAAUGCGUAGAUAUCUGGAGGAAUACCUGUGGCGAAAGCGGCCUCCUAAACGAAUACUGACACUGAGGUGCGAAAGCGUGGGGAGCAAACAGGGAUUAGAUACC